rnacentral:rRNA from 1 species
GAUGAACGCUGGCGGCGUGCCUAAUACAUGCAAGUCGAGCGAACAGACGAGGAGCUUGCUCCUCUGACGUUAGCGGCGGACGGGUGAGUAACACGUGGAUAACCUACCUAUAAGACUGGGAUAACUUCGGGAAACCGGAGCUAAUACCGGAUAAUAUAUUGAACCGCAUGGUUCAAUAGUGAAAGACGGUUUUGCUGUCACUUAUAGAUGGAUCCGCGCCGCAUUAGCUAGUUGGUAAGGUAACGGCUUACCAAGGCAACGAUGCGUAGCCGACCUGAUAGGGUGAUCGGCCACACGAGAGCUGAGACGCGGUCCAGACUCCUACGGGAGGCAGCAGUAGGGAAUCGGCCGCAGUAGGCGGAAGCCUUACGGAGCAACGCCGCGUGAGUGAUGAGGGUCUUCGGAUCGUGAAACUCUGUUAUUAGGGAAGAACAAAUGUGUAAUGAACUAUGCACGGCUUGACGGUACCUAAUCAGAAAGCCACGGCUAACUACGUG